GAUGAACGCUGGCGGCGUGCCUAAUACAUGCAAGUCGAGCGAACGGACGAGAAGCUUGCUUCUCUGAUGUUAGCGGCGGACGGGUGAGUAACACGCGGAUAACCUACCUAUAAGACUGGGAUAACUUCGGGAAACCGGAGCUAAUACCGGAUGAUAUUUUGAACCGCAUGGUUCAAAGGUGAAAGACGGUCUUGCUGUCACUUAUAGAUGGAUCCGCGCUGCAUUAGCUAGUUGGUAAGGUAACGGCUUACCAAGGCAACGAUGCAUAGCCGACCUGAGAGGGUGAUCGGCCACACUGGAACUGAGACACGGUCCAGACUCCUACGGGAGGCAGCAGUAGGGAAUCUUCCGCAAUGGGCGAAAGCCUGACGGAGCAACGCCGCGUGAGUGAUGAAGGUCUUCGGAUCGUAAAACUCUGUUAUUAGGGAAGAACAUAUGUGUAAGUAACUGUGCACAUCUUGACGGUACCUAAUCAGAAAGCCACGGCUAACUACGUG
rnacentral:rRNA from 1 species